GUUGUGGGAGCUGUGAGGGUGCACGAACAAUGAGAACCCACAUGACAAACAAUAACGCACAAAACAGAGAGGGAAAUCAGAGGGUUAAAUAAGGAACAUAAUUAAUGGAAUGGAAACCAGGUGUGUAUGAUCAAGACAAAACAAAACGAAACAUGGAUCUAUGGUGGCGAGAAAGCCGGUGACGUCGACCGCCGCCCGAAGAAGGAGAGGGACCAACUUCGGCCGAAGUCGUGACAUUUGCACACACUGUAUAUAGACUUUCUAUUGUGUUAUUGACUGUAAGUUUGUUUAUCCCAAGUGUAUCUCUGUGUUGUUGUUUUUGUGCACUGAUUUGCUUUAUCCUUGCCAGUUGUAAAUGAGAACUUGUUCUCAAUUGGCCUACCUGGUUAUAUAAAGGUAAACGAUUUUUUAAAAUAGAUAUAUAUAUAUAUAUAAAAUAUAUAGAUAUAAAUUCCCGCCUCAGUUUGCUCACGGGAACCCCCGCACGCUGCUCAUUCACUCCAGGAGCUGUCACCCUGUCUCUCUCUCUCCUCCUCUCUCUCUCUCAAACUGACACACACCAAGUAGCUCGAGCCCCAGUGGAGACGCUGCUGACGCUCUGCUCGCUCCACCGACAACACCGAGUCACGUUCUGUUCUUUUCUCGCUCCACCGACAACACCGAGUCACGUUCUGUUCUUCUCUCGCUCCACAGACAACACCAAGUCACGGUAUGUUCUUCUCUGGCAGAACCGGAGAGCGAAAGCCCUUUAGGAUUCUAUCUAUCGCGUGUGAUAUUUGGAGCUGAACGACCGGUCGUGACGGAGGACGCGAGGGGAAAUACAAAAAAAGAGCGAAAGGGAGAAAAGAAAAGAGGCCCUCUCUCAACACAGACCUGGGGGGGUUCAUCCUGUGCUCCUAAUCAGGGAUUCAGACCGUGGACACCAGGUGGUGUCCUCCCAUCAGAAACACUCUGAGAGCAGCUUGACAGCACAGGACGGAAGGAGGGAGGGAGAGAGAGAGAGAGAGAGAGAGAGAGAGAGCCGACCAUCUGUGAAUCACAUCAAGGCAGCUGUGGUUAGAGUGGACUGCAGUUAUUUUACGAACGAGAGGCAGAGAGGGGGAUAGAAGUGGAGAGAAGGAGAGGGGAUAGAAGUGGAGAGAAGGAGGGGGAUAGAAGUGGAGAGAAGGAGAGGGGAUAGAAGUGGAGAGAAGGAGAGGGGAUAGAAGUGGAGAGAAGGAGAGGGGAUAGAAGUGGAGAGAAGG
ensembl:lncRNA